ACUUAUUAUGUUGGUUAUGUACAUUAAGCACUGUCAGUAAUAUAUAUAUAAGCAGAAAAGAUAUUGUGAAAGUUUAUAUUACUUAAUUGAUUAUGGUGGUAUAAAAAGAAACUGUUCCAUCUUAAAUCCAACAAUAACAGUAAUAGACUGCUUGGCCUCAAGUUUCAGUGCGACAAACUCCAUCAUUUUCAGCAGUCAAUCAAAUUAACGGGUUAAAUGAGAAUGGUGACUGGUUAAGAGGCAUCAUCGUAAGAACAAUAACUGGCUGUUUUACUAUGCUCUCAACUAUGCUGCUGUUGCUACUGGCUUUACUUUUCCACACAUUUGGUUUAAUCAAAUAGGGCAAGGACAAGGUUCAUAGACGAGACAGCAUCCAUAAAGUAGAUACGGAGGAUAAUGAUAACCAGUCAAUAAGAGUCACGAGAGGUCUACAAGAGGACAUUUGUAAACAUUGGUAAACCAUAUAACAGUUGUGCACUUGCAGCAGCAGGAUCAUAUUUUUCUCAGUUUAAUCACUUCAUCUUACAUACUAUGUAUCUUAAUUCUUACGGUUAAUUUAUCAACAGCAUACAUUGUCAAAAUCCAAGAGAGUUCGUUCUCCAGUGCUUAGUUCUUCAUUUCAAACUUUUAAUUUCAAAAAGGUUGCUGCUUAACGUGCUACUACAUAAGCCUGAUAAAUUCAUGCUGGUAGCAAUUUUUCCUAUAGAAAAUUUAGGUGUGGAACUGUGAUGUACUACCUAUCUACUACUGGAAGUAGUGCAAACUUUUAUCUGAUUCGUAAUUUCAGUACUGGGAACAAAUUGAAAGUUUUAAUUCAAAGUGCUAAAACUUUUGGAAUCAGCUGGACUGCAAAAAAUUCUACAGAAUAAGAUCAAUUUGAGGAUAAGAAGGAGCCAAAUAUUCCAUUACAAGUGACAUCGGAUCUUAAGUCUGUAUGGAAACAUUUAACCUACAAAAUUUAUAGGACUUCAAUAUUUUUUACCAGCAAAAGGAAGUCUUUAGCAAGGAGUUAUCAUUGUAAACUUAUCCAGACAAAAAAAUUGACAAUUAUGUACAACUAUUAUUACUUGAAUUUGAAACUCUCUACCCUUCUGAUGCUGUACCUUCCAGGCGCCUUAAAACUAGUAAAGCUACUGAUAUCAUUGUGUGUGCAUUCUCAAAUAUCUUGAGAAACUUGGAUCAAGCUAACCAGUGUUUUUGAGUAAGCUCGAGAUCCUUACAAAAUUAAGUCAAUGCCAAAAUAUUACAAACUAUCAGGAAUGAAAAUAAAAACUCAAUUCAAGAAUGAACAUAUGGAUUUAUUCAAAGUAUGAGGAUGCUAUACAUAAAAUAUAAGAAUAAUAUAAAAUAAUUCAAGAAGUCAGCGAGAGCUGUUAUAAACUAUCAGCAUUUAAUAAAAUUAAAAGUUGAAUCUGUUAAUGAAUUAUAUUCCGUACAAAUAGCAAAAUUAUCAAUUAAUUUAUAUGAAAAAUUUCUUUGUAAAUAAAAUAAAAAUUUGAAAUGAUAUAA
rnacentral:lncRNA from 1 species